rnacentral:rRNA from 1 species
GAACGCUGGCGGUGUGCUUAACACAUGCAAGUCGAACGGGCAAGAGCUGUAGCAAUACAGAAUUCUGCUAGUGGCAGACGGGUGAGUAAUACAUGGGAAUCUACCUUGCAGUGCGAAAUAACAGUUGGAAGCAAUUGCUAAUGUCGCAUAUAGCCGAGAGGUGAAAGAUUUAUCGCUGCAAGACGAGCCCAUGCAGGAUUAGCUAGUUGGUGAGGUAAUGGCUCACCAAGGCAACGAUCUUUAGUUGGUCUGAGAGGAUGAUCAGCCACACUGGGACUGAGACACGGCC